GCCGCGGAGCCAUCGAGCCUCGGACCUGCGAAGGGCCCGCGCCGGUCGCAGCAUCCCUUCCUCUCCGUCGUCUUGCGUUCGGCGCGUCUGAAUGGCAAGACCAAUUCGGUCCGAGCUCACUGUCGGGGCUUCGUCGGCUCUGAAUUUGGAGUCGUCCGACUCAAAUGCGGUCUGAGGGUUGCUUGGGGUUUGGCGUUCAGGUCCGGUCCGCCGCGUUCAGCCAAAGGUCAAAAAACACCUCAAGUCUAGUUUCAUUGUCGAGUUCUAUGUGUAGUCGGAUUGUCAGUUCGGAGUGAAGUUCAGGUCCGUUCAGUCGCAAUGUCAAAGUCCAAACGGGAAGUCCGGCUCAGGUCUGGGUAGUAAUCCGAACGGUCGGGUCUGAGUCAGGAGUCGAGCUAGAUUUGACCGCCGAGUCCCAUCCAGUCCGAAUGAUGGGUACGGUCUCGGUUUUGGAAUCGGGUUCUGUCUAGCCAUUUUGAAAAGUCAAACCUCAUCGUUGACUUUCGAGGCUGUUUGGGUCUGACUGUUGUAUCCAAAGGCCUGGACCGGAGUCUCCUCUGGACUUAUGCGGCCAACUCUGGUCUCAGUACUGACUCCCCACGUUUCGGCCGGUCCGAACUUGGAAUUGAGUUCGGUCUGAGUGACGAGUCCAAAUCAAGUCUCGGGCUUGAGUCCAAGGUCCCGUUGGCUCGGAGCUAUGAAUGAAGCCGGACUCUGGUCUGGGUGUUGCUGAUGCUUAGUCGGGUUGGAAUUUGGAGUCGAUUUGAAGGUUGUGUCUAAAGUCCUGCUAGAAUCUGAGCGACCACGUCCACAACAGGUCCAGCGUCAAUGUUGUCUGUUUCGUCGGGUCUGAUUUGGGACCUGUGGGCUGGCUCUCUUCCAAAGAUCUUGGGUUUUUUUUUUGUUUCUCGUCAAUGUUUGUUUUUAAUUUAUUUGUGUUUGCUCCACGAUUGUCGAGAGGACGCAGGAUAUGAUCUGCUCAAAGUAUUCUAACUUAUUCUGUCCGAUUUUUUUUUUUCGUUCUCCGUAAUGUUACAUUUUCCCAAAAGUCACUUUUUUUUGGUUUGUUUUUUCAAAAGACGUGACAUGAAAAAAACAACUCGAAUGUUCGCUUGAAGCGCGACUUUUGCUUCAAAGAUUUGAAGUUGAAAGAUUCUCAUAAAAUCAGGACCUCGUGAAUUGGAAAAAAAAAUCACCAAAAAUGAAAUGCGAAAAGUUGAGUUUUCAUGCUUUUUUUUUGGUGUGUGUGUUUUGUUUUUGUUUGUUUUGUUUUGGAACGUGACCCAUGGAAUAUUUGAAUUUCUUAACGUCUGUUACGAAACAACCACAACGCUCCACAAGAAUAUAAAACUCCAGGAGCAGAUGCAAGUAUGCAAAGGAAAAAAAAAUGCAGUACAAUGCUAUUCUCAAAAGUUUUUUUUUUCUCACGAAACAGAACUUUUGGAAUGAACAAAAAAUAGUUGUAGCAUUCUACAAGUUAAAUCCAGAUUGAGGGAAAGCCACCACAAAUGCAGUGGAGGAAGCUUCCCCGAUUUCUUUUUAUUUUAUUUUAUUUU